rnacentral:rRNA from 1 species
ACGAGCGCAACCCCCGUCCCAUGUUAAAUGUUCAUGGGAGACCGCCUCGGAUAACGGGGAGGAAGGUGGGGAUGACGUCAAAUCAGCAUGGCUCUUACAUCUAGGGCUACACACGUGCUACAAUGGUAGAGAACAAAGGGUUGCCAAGCCGCAAGGCGGAGCUAAUCCCAACAAAAUCUACCUCAGUUCGGAUUGGGGGCUGCAAUUCGCCCCCAUGAAGUUGGAUUUGCUAGUAACCGUGAAUCAGCCUCGUCACGGUGAAUACGUUCUCGGGUCUUGUACUCACUGCCCGUCAAGUCAAGAGAGUCGGAAACACCCGAAGGCUCCGUUGAGGGGACGAAGGUGGAGUCGAUAAUAAGGACUAAGUCGUAACAAGGCAUCCGUAGCGGAAGCUGUGGAUGGAUCACCUCCUUU